rnacentral:tRNA from 1 species
GGGGAUGUAGCUCAGUGAUAGAGCACUUGCCUAGCAUGCAAGAUACCCUGGCUUCUUCCUCA